GGAUUGCCCUAGUAACGGCGAGUGAAGCGGCAAAAGCUCAAAUUUGAAAUCUGGCGGUCUACGGCCGUCCGAGUUGUAGUUUAGAGAGGUGCUCUCCGCGUCGGACCAUGUACAAGUCCCUUGGGAUGGGGCGUCAGAGAGGGUGAGAAUCCCGUUCGUGACAUGGACUGCCGUCGCUCUGUGAUGCGCCUUCGAAGAGUCGAGUUGUUUGAGAAUGCAGCUCAAAACGGGUGGUAAAUUCCAUCUAAAGCUAAAUAUUGGCGAGAGACCGAUAGCGAACAAGUACCGUGAGGGAAAGAUGAAAAGAACUUUGGAAAGAGAGUUAAACAGUACGUGAAAUUGUUGAAAGGGAAACGCUUGAAGUCAGUCGCGUCGGCGGGGAUUCAGCCUGGCCUUGUGCUUUGGUGUACUUCCCCGUUGACGGGUCAGCAUCAGUUUCGGUCGCCGGAGAARGGCGUGGGGAAGGUGGCUCCUCCGGGAGUGUUAUAGCCCCGCGUGGUACACGGUGUCUGGGACUGAGGAUCGCAGCGCGC
rnacentral:rRNA from 1 species